ensembl:lncRNA
AUUUUCUCCAGGUUGAUCUGUCCCUACAUUUAGGGGAAAAGAGAGGAGUGGGAGAGUUGGAGGAAAUUACCAAAAUUGGGAGUUGUUCAUUGAUUGUCGACUUUCAACUGGCUGUUUUUCAGUUUUGAAAAAUCAAAGUUGGAGGAUCUGCAAAAGUAUAUGCCUGAGAGAGGAGACCACCCCUUCAUAUGGAAUUGGAUAACUAUGGGUUAACUGUGCUAUUAGGCUAUGGGUUAACUCUGGGUUAACAAGGUAACUAUGCUCUUUGUAGAAUGCACCUAAGUAACCAUGACAACUUCUGUAAUCUGUCGUCAAAGGAGCAUAAUGGACUCAGAAAGCCCUGCCAGACUCUUUGUGCCCCCCCCAACACCCACUGCUCUGCUUUGUGUAAAUCCUGCUUGCUGUAUUCCCAGUGAAACGCCAAUGGAAUUAACUUUCAUAGAUGUAAAAAGAGACAGACCCUGUACUUAAGGGAGCCCUAGAGGGAGACUGGAAAGCCAGAGGAAGGAGUUGGUACCUUCCCCUUCUUGUUGCUGAUUAGUCUCUUCAAAAUCACUGCACAACGAUUCUUCAUCCAGCAGCAACAAUUCACUCCUGUUUCAGGGAGACAAACCCAGGUUUGGAAAGGAGCUUUUAAAAUCAUUGGAAUUUCCCAGAGCAUCUGUUACCUACAAAUCCCUUGGUCCACACCUGAGUUCAUGUUAAUGAGAUGGUUUUGAAUAGAGAUUGGAUACCAGGCAGGCCAAUGUGUGAAAAGAGGGCUGGUGCUUUGAGCCCCAGGAGGGUGAAGGGGUGGAGAUUGAGUUAUCAGUUAUGCCUGCAUAAUGUGAAGCUCAUUAAGCUUCUUGGCUGGUGAACACAAUGAGAAGAAGAAUAUGUCAUGAUCCACCCACAGAGAGGAUCCGCAUGCAGGACCCACCCAGACCUCACCCCCUGAUUUCCCUUGAGUGCAGAGAAGGGAGAAGGACUCAGAACCACAUAAAUAAGACACAGAAUGGCUGUGAAUGCCCCCGCUCAUCACCUGUGGGGCCACACAACCUCACAGUGAAGAACAUGGCCAGCCACGUGCAUCCUCAGGCACCUUCUGCCCUGUCUCCACCUCUGUCAGGCUGUUUGCCUCUGUACCUUUCUGUUUGCCUCUUCUCUCCUUCACACAUGUGCUCAAGGGUAAGUAUGCUCACACACACUCACAAACACAAACACACAGUCAGGCAUACCAUCCUACCCAAGUGAUUGCAAAUCCAAAC